rnacentral:rRNA from 1 species
CCCCUUUUUUUUCAAAACAUGUCUUAAUGUCUUAAAAUAUUUAUUAAGUCUGGUCUGCUCAAUGAUUAUUAAUUAAAUAGCCGCAGUAUUUUGACUGUGCGAAGGUAGCAUAAUCAUUUGUCUUUUAAUUGAAGGCUUGUAUGAAUGGCUGGAUGAGGGAAUAUCUUUCUUUAUAUUAAAUACUGAAAUUAAUUUUUUAGUUAAAAAGCUAAAAUUUUUAAGUGGGACGAGAAGACCCUGUAGAAUUUUAUUGAUGAUUAAUUAUUUAAUAUAUGGUUAUUUUUUUUCAUAAUUAAUUAUUAAUUUUGUUGGGGUGACAUUGAGAUUUAAUCAACUCUCAUAAUUAAUUGAAUAAUAAUUUUUAUUUUAAAGAUCCUUUUUUAAAGAUAUUUAGAUUAAAUUACCUCAGGGAUAACAGCGUAAUUUUUCUGGAGAGUUCUUAUUGAUAGAGAAGUUUGCGACCUCGAUGUUGGAUUAAAAUUAGAUUUAAGUGCAGAAGCUUAUAAUUUCUAGGUCUGUUCGACCUUUAAUAUUUUACAUGAUCAAUUUUCAACCCG